rnacentral:rRNA from 1 species
UACAGAGGUCCCGAGCGUUUGUUCGGAUUCAUUGGGCGUAAAGGGUGCGUAGGCGGCUUCCUAAGUUUGAUGUGAAAUCCUGGGGCUCAACCCUGGAACUGCAUUGAAUACUGGGAGGCUAGAGUACUGGAGAGGAAACUGGAAUUUACGGUGUAGCAGUGAAAUGCGUAGAGAUCGUAAGGAAGACCAGUGGCGAAGGCGAGUUUCUGGACAGUUACUGACGCUGAGGCACGAAGGCCAGGGGGAGCAAACGGG